CCGCAGAAGGGUCUGGAAACCCGGGUCCCGCUGACGUCCGCUGCCCGGGCGUCGUGCGCAGUCGGGCCGGACGCCCGCUGGUGUGGGGGUCAGAGAAAAUUCCCUUUUGAACGGUCGCAGGCGACCUUUGCCCAGUCGUGGCGGCCGGCCUUGGGGUCGCAGGGCCGUGGCGGGCAGGGAGCCAGGUUGGCUGCAGGCACGGCGGGGGCGCUCGCUCCCCGCCUUUUCCCUGUCUCGUUCCCUCCCCCGCGCUCCAGAGCUCCUGACCCCAAAAGGGAGCCGUGAUUCCCAGCAGGAGAGUGACCACUGGCUGGUACAGCAUAUGCAGAACCAGGGCCACACAGAGCAGCAUGGUCAUGAGCAGGCCCCCAAGGACCGCCUCAGCUGUUCUGAACCAAUGCAGGUUGCCAGGACGCAGAUGGCUUCAUGGACCAAACAACACUAGUGAGCAUCUUCAUGAACCAGCCCAUGCCUGGGUUGCU
rnacentral:lncRNA from 1 species